rnacentral:rRNA from 1 species
UACGGAGGGCGCAAGCGUUGUUCGGAAUUACUGGGCGUAAAGCGCGUGUAGGUGGCCUGGCAAGUCGGGUGUGAAAUCCCGGAGCUCAACUCCGGAACUGCAUCCGAUACUGCCAAGCUCGAGUCUCGGAGAGGAUGGCGGAAUUUCCGGUGUAGAGGUGAAAUUCGUAGAUAUCGGAAGGAACACCAGUGGCGAAGGCGGCCGUCUGGACGAUGACUGACACUGAGACGCGAAAGCGUGGGAAGCAAACAGG